rnacentral:rRNA from 1 species
CCUACGGGCGGCAGCAGUGAGGAAUAUUGGUCAAUGGGCUUACGCCUGAACCAGCCAAGUCGCGUGAGGGAAGACUGCCCUAUGGGUUGUAAACCUCUUUUGUCAGGGAGCAACGCCGGCUACGUGUAGCCGGACUGAGAGUACCUGAAGAAAAAGCAUCGGCUAACUCCGUGCCAGCAGCCGCGGUAAUACGGAGGAUGCGAGCGUUAUCCGGAUUUAUUGGGUUUAAAGGGUGCGUAGGCGGAAUGCCAAGUCAGCGGGAAAAUCGCGGGGCUCAACCUCGCUCCGCCGUUGAAACUGGCGUUCUUGAGGGGGCGAGAAGUAUGCGGAAUGCGUGGUGUAGCGGUGAAAUGCAGAGAUAUCACGCAGAACGCCGAUUGCGAAGGCAGCAUACCGGCGCCCAACUGACGCUGAAGCACGAAAGCGUGGGUAUCGAACAGGAUUAGAUACCCGUGUAGUC